rnacentral:rRNA from 1 species
GCACAAUGGGCGCAAGCCUGAUGCAGCCAUGCCGCGUGUAUGAAGAAGGCCUUCGGGUGUAAAGUACUUUCAGCAGUGAGGAAGGUGGGUAUGUUAAUAGCAUAUUCAUUUGACGUUAGCUGCAGAAGAAGCACCGGCUAACUCCGUGCCAGCAGCCGCGGUAAUACGGAGGGUGCGAGCGUAAUCGGAAUUACUGGGCGUAAAGCGCAUGCAGGUGGUUUGUUAAGUCAGAUGUGAAAGCCCGGGGCUCAACCUCGGAAUUGCAUUUGAAACUGGCAAACUAGAGUACUGUAGAGGGGGUAGAAUUUCAGGUGUAGCGGUGAAAUGCGUAGAGAUCUGAAGGAAUACCGGUGGCGAAGGCGGCCCCCUGGACAGAUACUGACACUCAGAUGCGAAAGCGUGGGGAGCAAACAGGAUUAGAUACCCUGGUAG